rnacentral:tRNA from 1 species
ACCCUUGUGACGCAGUGGUUAGCGUGUCGUUCUUAUAUUGAACUGCCCUCUGGGGUACUCAAUAUGAACCUUGAGUUAUGCGAAAGUCGCAAGUUCAAAUCUUGCCUGGGGUA